UACGAAGGGUGCAAGCGUUAAUCGGAAUUACUGGGCGUAAAGCGUGCGUAGGCGGUUUGUUAAGUCCGAUGUGAAAGCCCUGGGCUCAACCUGGGAAUGGCAUUGGAUACUGGCGAGCUAGAGUCAGGUAGAGGGUGGUGGAAUUCCCGGUGUAGCGGUGAAAUGCGUAGAGAUCGGGAGGAACAUCUGUGGCGAAGGCGGCCACCUGGACCAUGACUGACGCUGAGGCACGAAAGCGUGGGGAGCAAACAGG
rnacentral:rRNA from 1 species